GAGGAGAAGGAACCAAUUAAGAGAUGGUAAAAGUCGCAUCACUAACCCUGGAUGAAGGUGAUGAUGGAGACUUUAGUGAAGACCUAGCCGGCUCUCAAUUGUUUCAUCGUAUCCAUGAUUUACCAGAGGUCUCGAUAGAAUCGUUGAAAGGGCAGAGAUAGAGCUACUCACUAUUGUCAUCUUCAAACAAUGCACAGCUUCAACCCGUUAAAUCCGUUGAAGAAGUGUGUGCAGCUUCAGGUAGUAAGAUUACAAAAACCGAGGCUUACUGCAAAUCGAUGCUAAAGCUGUGGGUUGAUUUGAAGAUAGAUAGCAAUCCACGACUUGAUUUAGAUGAUCAUAUGGAUUUACCUCAACUCACUGUGCUGGCGCCCCCUCAAGACUCAUCCACGCAAGCUGAUCACCUCUCAAAUUUCGGUUCACAAAUGCAUCUUGCAAGCAACACUGUUCAAAGAGCCAGUGACCUACUCAUUUCAGUCUCACUAGUUGUUGAAAUGAACAGAAUCAAAACCAUUGAGCUAGCUUCUCAAGCAAUGGAAGAGCUGCGAAAACUGGCUUUGGCUGGAGAGCCUCUUUGGCAAAUUGACAUAGAAAACAACACAAAAAUACUAAGUGAGAUCGAGUAUACGAGGAAAUUUGAGGAUAUCAGUGCCACGUUGAUGGAGAUAGUGAGAAUGGUUGAGGUCCGAAAGUCUCAAUCUCUACCAAGUUUGGAUACAAUUCUUUUUUUUUUUUUUUAAAGAACAUGGAUACAAUUCUCAAUUCUCAAUUCUCAGUCGCAAUUUACCCCGUUAGGGCAUUCAGAGUUUGCUCAUACAUGCUUCAGUUAUGUGUUUAUUAUUUUGCAGGUUAUUACCAAGGAGUAGAACCAAUUUGUACCCUCCUUAUUUUAGUGUCACAAACUUGACCUUAAAAUGCAAUGCGCACAACAACGUACGAACAAAAUGUGAUUGGAGAAUCUGACGAUCGAAACAUGAUGCCGCCACGCCACAACUUUUCCAGCUCAACUAAAGUUAGAAAGUGCUAUGUCAGCAUCUCAGUAAAAGUUAUAAUCAACAAUACAAAAGAGGAACCAAUUAUUCCGAGUCCUCGUUUGACAGUGGGACAUUUAACAUUGAAAACGACAAUGCAUGAAAAUGAACAAUUCGGCAUCAAGUUUUUCUUGAAUUGUUGUCCUAAUUUGGAGACUCUUUACAAUUGAACGGUGACCUGAGGAAAUUCUUGAGUAUUACGCAACUCCUUCUGUACUGAAGCCUCAAGAGAUGUGGAAGGGAAAUGUAGAAGUCUACGAGUGCAUAACCCGAACGCUGAGAAUGGUUGAAGUAAAAGGUUAUAUGGGGUCACAACAUGAACUUGACCUGCUCAGCUAUCUUCUCACACAUGGCCGUUGCAUGGAACAGCUUACUGUCAUUACAUCAAGUGAUGAGGAAGUUAAUGGUGGAAACCCAGAAGAAUUCAGACUCAAAGCUCAAGAGUUCUUGCAUCAAGUCGAAGCAGCCUCACAAAAUCCAAAUCUGGAAAUAACAGUUCUGUAAGUAAGUAACCGAUUAAGUCUGCUGCAUGUGCUUGCUUCCAGCGAUACAAUUGGUUUUUGUGUGCAUACAGUUGAAGAUGGAAUGUUCAUUUUGAGUCGGGUCUAGCUUAAAGAGUUUACGCUUCCGGUGAUAUAAUGUUAGUUUCAUGUGCAGUUGAAAUUGGAAUCAUGGAAGUUGUCUAAUUCAAAGACAACUAUAAGUCUGUAACAACUAACAAAUCAAUACAUGUGCAGUUGCUCUUUUGAUUCAGUUC